AUUGAACGCUGGCGGCAGGCCUAACACAUGCAAGUCGAACGAGUGGCGGACGGGUGAGUAAUGCUUGGGAAUCUGCCUGAUGGCGGGGGAUAACUACGGGAACCUGUAGCUAAUACCGCGUACCAUAGGCUGAGCACAAGUGGGAUUAGAUAGUUGGUGAGGUAAAGGAUCACCAAGUCGACGAUCCCUAGCUGGUCUGCGAGGAUGACCAGCCACACUGGAACUGAGACACGGUCCAGACUCCUACGGGAGGCAGCAGUGGGGAAUAUUGCGCAAUGGGCGCAAGCCUGACGCAGCCAUGCCGCGUGAAUGAAGAAGGCCUUCGGGUUGUAAAGUUCUUUUAGUAGGGAGGCGUUACCUACAGAAGAAGCACCGGCUAACUCCGUGCCAGCAGCCGCGGUAAUAC
rnacentral:rRNA from 1 species